rnacentral:rRNA from 1 species
CGUGUAGGCGGUAUCAUAAGUCAGAUGUGAAAGUUCGGGGCUUAACCCCGGAAUUGCAUUUGAAACUGUAAUACUUGAGUACUGGAGAGGUAAGUGGAAUUCCUAGUGUAGCGGUGAAAUGCGUAGAGAUGUGGAGGAACACCAGUGGCGAAGGCGGCUUUCUGGUCUGUAACUGACGCUGAGGCGCGAAAGCGUGGGGAGCAAACAGGAUUAGAUACCCUUGUA